rnacentral:lncRNA from 1 species
AUUUUUUCACCUUUUGAGCCAUGUGUUUUCCACGUAAAAAUCUUUGUGUUCUUUAUUUUAUGUACUUAUUAUUCCGCAAACAGUAGUAGUUAGAACAUUUAGAAGAACCAGGUUCUUGUAGAGCGAAAAUUGGGUACCACACAAAUCACACACCUCCCCCCCCCCUCUUGUGUGGUAUUGACGAUUAGAACAUCAUAUAGAAUCUGGGCAAGGACUCCUGAAGACCUAGAAUCACAAUGGGCACAGCUGGUGCUGCUGGAUCGUCCACAACUAGGACCUGAUCAUGAACUGGGGCGGCUGGUGGAUCUGCAGGUGCUGCCCUAGCUACUGUGCGGGCUACACCCUUGCCCCUAUCAUGACCUCGACCCCGUCCUCGCCCUCUAGUGGCCCCAGCUAGUGGUUCUGGUGGUUGUCCAUCCUGACCGGUAGCACAUUUCCUCACCAUCUGUGAGAGAAUAGAAUAACAGAAGUUUAGUACUCAGAUCAACAGAUUUGCACGACAAGAAUUCAAGAAUAUGAAGUAUUUCCUAAAGGUUCUGCAACCUUCCGAGGAUAAAUACCGGCAUCUACGUACUGAUCCGCGAGACUCUACUAAACCUGCUCAUGACUCGUGAGACUUAUGUAACCUAGGCUCUAAUACCAACUUGUCACGACCCUAAAAUAGACCCAAUUGUGAUGGUGCCUAUCGUGAAACUAGGCCAGCCGACACAAACCCCCAAACCAACUAGACAGUUAUAAUAAGUCACUUAAAGUCAGCAAUGAGCUAAAAAUCCCAAAAUAUAGAGUAAAAUAAAAUAGUGCGGAAACAAACACAGCCCGACAUCGGGGUGUCACCAAUCAGGAGCAUCUACAGUUCGUCUAAGAGUAUGAAAAGACAACAUAGUCUGAUACAAAGCUAUUACAAAGUGAAAUAAAGAUAGGAAGGAGAAGCACUAGGCUGCGAACGCCGAGUAGCUAGCUAGUCAACUCCAAACAAGCCUGCUAGAAAGUAAAUCAGCACUUGCUAGCAUGACCCGAGACUCCUAGAUCUACACACAGGGUGUAGGGAGUAAUGUGAGUACGCCAACUCAGCAAGUACUAAAAGUAAAGGUAGCUGAGCAGUAAGAAAAUACGUAAAACACAGCAUAAUGCUACAACAAGACAGUAUAAAACCAGGAUAAUGCAGUAAAGCGGUAACGUAAAAACAUCUCAGUUCAGUAAAAACCUUUUCAAAACAUCUUUCCGUAGUUCAAACGAGUGAUGAAAUCAGCAAGAAAAGGGUAGAGACAUAAAUAAGCCCCUCAGGCAAAACAAGUACCACAACCGCCCCUAGGGCAAAUUACCAACAAAACCAGCCCCCUGGGCUACCUCACAAUUACUCGUAUCAGCUGCUCGGGCAAUAACAUGAAACAACAACAGUCCCUCGGGCAAUAACACAUCUCACACUGGGUACCCGCGCUCACUGGGGGUGUGAAGACUCUGGAGGGGCUCCUACAGCCCAAGCGCUAUAUCAAGCUAUCUCGUGGCAUAAUCAAACUGGCCCUUGGCCUCAUAACAUGCUGCCUCGUGACGUAACAAAUCAGGCCCUCGGCUCAUAAUCAUGAAUUAGUGCAACACUGCUACGGUACGCAACCCGAUCUCAUAAUAUCCUCACAACACAAGCCCUCAGCCUCACUUAGCCAGAAAUCUCUCAAGCCACUCGGGUACAGUAAAACAUGAUGCUCAGCCCAAAAUAUCAUUUAAAAAUGUCAAAACGGAGUAAAUAUGGCUGAGUUAUGAAAACAGUAGAAUACAACAUGACUGAGUACAAAUAUGAAGUCAAAGUAAUGAGGAAUAGUAGUAAAAAUCCCCUAAGGGUCCCAACAUAGUUGACACGAGGCCCAAAUAUGGCAUUCAGCCCAAAACAUGAUGAUACUUUCCAAAAACAAUGAUAUCAAACAGUUUUCAUCAAAUACGCGGUUUAACAGUCAUAUGAGACGGACUAAGUCACAAUCCCCAACGGUGCACGACCCCAUGCUCGUCAUCUAGCGUGUGCAUCACCUUAAAGUAGCACAACGAUGUGAAAUCUAGGAUUUCAUACCCUCUUGACACCAUUUACAAUCAUUACUUACCUCUAUCCGGUCCAAACUCUAGCCCGUGAUGCAUUUGCCUCUCGAAUCGGCCCCCGGAUGCACCAAAUCUAACCAAAAACAGAUUUAUACCAUCAAAAUAUGCUAAGGAAACAAAGCUCACUUGAAAAUAAUUAAUUUACAUAAAUAAAUGCCGAAAUUGGCCAAACCCGACCCCCGGGCCCACAUCUUGGAUCCCGAUAAAAAUCACAAAACUAGAAUGCUUAGACUCUCACGAGUUCAUACAUAUCAAAUACAUCAAAAUCCGACCACAAAUGGCCCCUCAAAUCCUCAAAUUCCAAGCCCUAACCCUCGAAUUUUAAGCUUUGGAUUCCAUAAAUUUCAUGUUAAAUUAGGUAGAAAUCACAAUAGGAUUAAGUAUUAAGUCCAUAAAUCUUACCUCCAAGUGUUUUCCAUUAAUUUCCUCUUCAAUAUCCCUCAAGAAGCUCCAAAACCGAGUAAAAAAUGGUGAACUAUGGCCAAAAAUCACGAAAGUGGCCUUUAAAACAUUAUGCCCAGUGAUUCGCAUUCCAUCUUCGCGAAUGCGGUCAAUGCCUCGCAUUCGUGAAGCACAAAAUCCGUUGACCACUAAAUCUUUCUUCGUGAAUGCGUGACUCCCAUCGUGAACGCGAGGCCAACCUUCCUGCCUCACACCAUAUCCCUUCGCGAACGUGAAGGCCAAAUGUCUGCAACACCAACAACAGUUUUUCUGCAACUUUUCCAACAAGAAUUUGAUCCGUUCAACUAUCCGAAACUCACCCGAGGCCCUCGGGACCUCAACCAAAUAUGCCAGCGUAUCCCAUAACCUCAUUCAAACUUGUUCCAACCUUUAGAAUGCUCAAAACAACAUCAAAAUACCAAAUUGACAUCAGAUUCAAGCCUAAGAAAUUCCAAAAACUUCCAAAUUCUGCUUUCGAUCAAAAUGUCUAGCAAACCUCGUCCGAAUGACCUGAAAUUUUGUACACACGUCAUAAAUGACACAACAGAUCUACUUCAACUUCCGAAAUUCCAUUACGACCCCUGUACCAAAAUCUCACCUAUAGACCGGAAAAUGCCAAAAUUCCAAUUUCUCCAAUUCAAGCCUAAGUCUACUCCGGACCUCCAAAACACAUUCAGAUCAGGCUCCUAAAUCCCAAAUCAACUCUCGAAGCUAUCCGAUUGGAAUUCACAUCUGAGCCCUUUUUCAUACAAGUCAACAUCCGAUUGACUUGUCCAACCUAAGCUUACUCAAAAGAGACUAAGUGUCUCAGUCCUUUCCAACACCUCUCCGAACCCGAACCAACCCGAUAACACAUAAUACAGCUAAACCCGACAAUAAGAAGUAGAAGUGGGGAAAACGGAGCGGUAACUCAUGAAACGACCGGCCGGGUCAUUACAAUACCCCUAUAGUCUAUUCAGUCCCAGUAGCUUAUAUGGAAAGAGCAUUGUUACAGAUUGAUUUGAGCUUGGUUCGAGGUAAAUGGCUUGCCUAACCUUGUGUGGGGGAACUCCCCUAAGAAUUUGGUACUAUUUUUGAUAUUUGAGCAUCGUGUACGUAAGGUGACGAGUACGUACAUAGGCUAAUUGUUGUAAAAUUCCAAUUUUUGCUAAGUAAUAACUUGUGUCCUUCUUAUUUGAGUUAUAUCAGCAUGUGUAGUACUUGGUUAGAUUAGAAUACCCUGUCUACUUGCCUUAAUUAUUUAGCUGAACUCCGUGCAGCAUGUUUAGUGAAUAUCUUAUUUUUCCUUGACUUUUACUUAGCCUUAUUGUAGUUAUUUCCAGUUUUAGCUGUCAAUUCUAUUGUUUAAGUUGUGUAUUUACUUUUGGGACUACAAAAUGAUAUUUUGGGAGAUCCCACUGCCUAUUCACUUUUUCGCAAAUAUUAGGCUUACCUAGUUGUAGAGACUACGUGUCAUCACGACGUUAUAUGGAGGGAAAUUGGGUCAUGACAGAAAUGGAUGUUCAGGAGGCAAAAAUGCCCGAUGACCCAUGUAGCACAUCUUACGACUAUGCUUGAGAUAUUGAGAGCAUUUGCUACAAUUAUAAGUGGGGCAUGCAAAUUUUCUUUGUUCUCCAUCCAGAUAGCAUUGCUAGUGCAAAAAAAUCACUAAUAGUCCACAUUAACGUUGCACGCAUUUGAAACAUCUAGUUGGAUUCGACAUCAAAUGUUUCUACACUGAAUUCCCAUAGUUCCUUCAAUUCAGCAAUUAGUAGUUAUAGAUACACGUCUAUAUCAUUUCCUAGAGAUGAAGGACCUGGGAUGAUCAUUGAUAACAAUAUAUACUCUGGCUUCAUACAAAUUCAAGGCGAUAGAUUAUAGUUCAUUAACAUAACAGGCCACGUGCUAUGGGAAAUGCUCAUUGUUCGAAACGGGUUGAAACCAUCACUUGAAAGACCCAAUCUAAUAUUGCGAGGGUCGCUAGAGAACUCAGGGUGCAAGGAGUUGAAUUCCUUCCAAGAAUCACCAUCAGCAGGAUGUCUUAUAUUUCCAUCAUUCAAUCGUUCAGUGGCAUGCCAUCUCAUAGCUACAGCUAUUUCGGGACACAUGAAUAUCCUCUGAAGCUAAGGCUUUAAUGGAAAGUACCUUCAAACCUUUGCAGGGGUUUUAGGCUUUUUAUUAGUCAAGAUAUUAACAACAUUCUUCCAUCUAGAAGACCCACACAGAACAAGUAUCUAUAUUUAGAUUUUCAUUCCAAAAUAAUAUGCAAUCAUUAGGACAUGCAUGCAUUUUUUCAUAAUGAAGACCCAAAUAUAUUAUCAUGCUUGUUUCCUUGUAGAAAGACUCGGGUAGCUGAACAAAUGGAAUGCCUGUUUUAACAAUUCCAACAAGUCUAUAAAUGCCACAUUACUCAUCCCAUGAGUGCAUUUAAACAAGUUCAACCGAAUCAUAAAACCUAAUUUGGAGAAAUUAUCACACCCUGGAUGUAAUUCUUCUUUCCCCUUUUCUACUCAUUUAAAGAAUUUUUUGCAUCUUCCAAUGGUCCAUCCCUCACUCCAUUAUGUCUCAAAUCAUCCUCGACAUUUCGAAAUGUAUCAUGAAGUAAUCCAUCAAUAUCGUCACACAUGUCAAAACCUUCAUCAUUACUGCUUGGGCAUGGAGUCAUUCUCGAGGAGAAUCCUUCCCUAUCGAAAAUUCAUUUGUUGUAUCCAUGAAUAAAAUCAUUAACAAUCAAGUGAUCUUCCACCAUAUUCUUAUGAUACCAAAAACAAUUAGCGCACUCUUUACAAAGGUAUAAUAUUUGAUUUGCUUGGGAAGCUCGUUCAAAUGUUUUAUCAAGAAAUUUAUUCACUCCUUGUAUGUACUCAUCAGUUGACCUUCGAAGGUCCAUCCACCUUUUAACUCCAUUAUCCAUUAAAUUAGUUUUAUCCUAUAUGACACCAAAACAACUAGUAUAAAAAUUAUUUAUAUACUCUUAAUAAAAAGAAUCAGAUAAUAAGAAAGAUACAGAAAAGCCACUUAUUGUCAAAAUUAUAUGGAUUUCAUUGUUGUAAAAUUUAACAGUCACCAAAACCAUCACAUAAAUAGCUACGUAAGGCAAAUCUCAUGGUUUCAUAUAACACUAAAUCUCGUGGUAAUUUUUUUUAAUAAAUAUUUUAUUUUAGCAAAUUGUUCCCAUAAAUAACCCUCUGUAAGUCCAUCAACUAACAUUAUUUUGGUGGGAGGCCAUUUUUAAUAUGAACCAAGAAUUGGCCUCCCAGACGGCCAAAAGGAGCUUUUCAUUGUUUUACACUCGUUAAAAAUAAUGGGGUUAAAGUUUUUCUAAACUAUAUAAGAAAUGCCAAAAACUAGUGUAUCACUAGUUAUAUUUUUAUAACAUUGAGAUGAAGUUGUGAUUUUUCAGCAAUAUUACCACCAAAAAAAGCAUCGAAAUGAUUUUUCAGAAUAACGAACAAGAUGGCGAAUAUCUAACAUCAAACAGAAAUCACAAUGGGUUUAUCUUUGUUUCUGACACAAAAACAAAAUGAAAUCACAAAAUGUAUAAUUCAAACAACAAACAAAAGUAAAAUUAUUAGUUUAUCGGCAAUAUUACAAAAGAAAAAAAGAAGGAACAUCGAAACGAUUUUCCAGAAUAACAAACAAGACAACCAACAUCGAACAUCGAUAACAAACAUCGAACAACGGAAAUAUCAUGAUUUCUAAUACGAAUUAAAAAUUCACCAACAAAACCCCCAAUUUUAAAAAUUAGAAAUCAUAAAAAUUAUCAUAUAAAACAGACAAAGAACAUAAGUAAAAUGAUGGGUGUAUGAGAAAUAUUACCAGAGAAAGAAAACCGGCAAAGUAGCAAAACAAUUUUUUAGCGAAGCAAUUUUCAGCGAACCAUCGAAAUUCUAUAUAAACACCAAACAGGGAGAAACACUGACAGCCAACAUUGGAUUUUGUCUUUCAUUAGCCGAAGUGGAUGUCCUUCGCCAGAAUCAGUCUUCCUUCACCGGAAUCGGUCUUCCUUGGUCGAAGUAGGCAGUAGAUUUUGGUCGAUUUUUUAUUCUAGGUUAAAGUUUAAAAGAGGGGUGAGUUUCUAACGAGAGAGACGGAAGAUUUCAUAGGAGUGUGUCUUUUAAAAUGUAA